rnacentral:rRNA from 2 species
UUAGCGGCGGACGGGUGAGUAACACGUGGGUAACCUGCCUGUAAGACUGGGAUAACUCCGGGAAACCGGGGCUAAUACCGGAUGGUUGUUUGAACCGCAUGGUUCAGACAUAAAAGGUGGCUUCGGCUACCACUUACAGAUGGACCCGCGGCGCAUUAGCUAGUUGGUGAGGUAACGGCUCACCAAGGCRACGAUGCGUAGCCGACCUGAGAGGGUGAUCGGCCACACUGGGACUGAGACACGGCCCAGACUCCUACGGGAGGCAGCAGUAGGGAAUCUUCCGCAAUGGACGAAAGUCUGACGGAGCAACGCCGCGUGAGUGAUGAAGGUUUUCGGAUCGUAAAGCUCUGUUGUUAGGGAAGAACAAGUGCCGUUCAAAUAGGGCGGCACCUUGACGGUACCUAACCAGAAAGCCACGGCUAACUACGUGCCAGCAGCCGCGGUAAUACGUAGGUGGCAAGCGUUGUCCGGAAUUAUUGGGCGUAAAGGGCUCGCAGGCGGUUUCUUAAGU